UACGAAGGGGGCUAGCGUUGCUCGGAAUCACUGGGCGUAAAGCGCACGUAGGCGGAUUGUUAAGUCAGGGGUGAAAUCCUGGAGCUCAACGUCCAGAACUGCCUUUGAUACUGGCGAUCUCGAGUCCGGGAGAGGUGAGUGGAACUGCGAGUGUAGAGGUGAAAUUCGUAGAUAUUCGCAAGAACACCAGUGGCGAAGGCGGCUCACUGGCCCGGUACUGACGCUGAGGUGCGAAAGCGUGGGGAGCAAACAGGG
rnacentral:rRNA from 1 species